AAAUUGAAGAGUUUGAUCAUGGCUCAGAUUGAACGCUGGCGGCAGGCCUAACACAUGCAAGUCGAACGGUAGCACAGAGAGCUUGCUCUCGGGUGACGAGUGGCGGACGGGUGAGUAAUGUCUGGGAAACUGCCUGAUGGAGGGGGAUAACUACUGGAAACGGUGGCUAAUACCGCAUAACGUCGCAAGACCAAAGAGGGGGACCUUCGGGCCUCUUGCCAUCAGAUGUGCCCAGAUGGGAUUAGCUGGUUGGUGAGGUAACGGCUCACCAAGGCGACGAUCCCUAGCUGGUCUGAGAGGAUGACCAGCCACACUGGAACUGAGACACGGUCCAGACUCCUACGGG
rnacentral:rRNA from 1 species